ACUUUGUUGUAUAGAAAGUCUCAUUAGUAAGGAACCAUAGAUGAAUUUUCUGAGUCAAGACCUAUAGUGACUGUUUGGGGUUUUGUUAGGUUAAGUUUAGGGUAUCUUCAAACACAUGACAGCCAGCACCUUAUGGUAUAAAUCAACAAAGAAUGACCUCACUUUGUUGUAUAGAAAGUCUCAUUAGUAAGGAAGCAUAUAUGAAUUUUCUGAGUCAAGACCUAUAGUAACUGUUUGGGGUUUUGUUAGGUUAAGUUUAGGGUAUCUUCAAACACAUGAUAGCCAGCACCUUAUGGUAUAAAUCAACAAAGAAUGACCUCACUUUGUUGUAUAGAAAGUCUCAUUAGUAAGGAAGCAUAUAUGAAUUUUCUGAGUCAGGACCUAUAGUAACUGUUUGGGGUUUUGUUAGGUUAAGUUUAGGGUAUCUUCAAACACAUGACAGCCAGCACCUUAUGGUAUAAAUCAACAAAGAAUGACCUCACUUUGUUGUAUAGAAAGUCUCAUUAGUAAGGAAGCAUAUAUGAAUUUUCUGAGUCAAGACCUAUAGUAACUGUUUGGGGUUUUGUUAGGUUAAGUUUAGGGUAUCUUCAAACACAUGAUAGCCAGCACCUUAUGGUAUAAAUCAACAAAGAAUGACCUCACUUUGUUGUAUAGAAAGUCUCAUUAGUAAGGAAGCAUAUAUGAAUUUUCUGAGUCAAGACCUAUAGUGACUGUUUG